rnacentral:rRNA from 1 species
CAACUUUUAACAACGGAUCUCUUGGUUCUCGCAUCGAUGAAGAACGUAGCAAAGUGCGAUAACUAGUGUGAAUUGCAUAUUCAGUGAAUCAUCGAGUCUUUGAACGCAUCUUGCACUCAUUGGUAUUCCAAUGAGUACGCCUGUUUCAGUAUCAAAA